AUCGCUUCUCGGCCUUUUGGCUAAGAUCAAGUGUAGUAUCUGUUCUUAUCAGUUUAAUAUCUGAUAUGUCCUCUAUAUGAGGACUACAUAUUAAGCAGAUUUUUGGCAUGAGGGGAGAAAUUUGGAGCUUGCUCCCAGAAUUUCUCCUUUCAUGCCAAACUGCUUAAUAUCCUCAUAAGAGACAUAUCAGAU